AAAUUGAAGAGUUUGAUCAUGGCUCAGAUUGAACGCUGGCGGCAGGCCUAACACAUGCAAGUCGAACGGUAACAGGAAACAGCUUGCUGUUUCGCUGACGAGUGGCGGACGGGUGAGUAAUGUCUGGGAAACUGCCUGAUGGAGGGGGAUAACUACUGGAAACGGUAGCUAAUACCGCAUAAUGUCGCAAGACUAAAGAGGGGGACCUUCGGGCCUCUUGCCAUCGGAUGUGCCCAGAUGGGAUUAGCUAGUAGGUGGGGUAACGGCUCACCUAGGCGACGAUCCCUAGCUGGUCUGAGAGGAUGACCAGCCACACUGGAACUGAGACACGGUCCAGACUCCUACGGG
rnacentral:rRNA from 1 species